rnacentral:rRNA from 1 species
UACGUAGGUCCCGAGCGUUGUCCGGAUUUAUUGGGCGUAAAGCGAGCGCAGGUGGUUUAAUAAGUCUGAUGUAAAAGGCAGUGGCUCAACCAUUGUGUGCAUUGGAAACUGUUAGACUUGAGUGCAGUAGAGGAGAGUGGAAUUCCAUGUGUAGCGGUGAAAUGCGUAGAUAUAUGGAGGAACAUCGGUGGCGAAAGCGGCUCUCUGGACUGUAACUGACACUGAGGCUCGAAAGCGUGGGUAGCAAACAGG